AAUAUAGGCAGCAAGGGAGUUAGAAUUGUACAAGGGCACAAACAGUUCUGGACCUAAUACAGAUGCCCUGGCCAAUGCGCAAAAGGUAACAGGUGGCUGCUAAUUAUGCAUUGUGUAUCUCAAGGGGCUAUGAAGAGGCUUCUAAAUUCAUUACUUCGUCAUUAGCACAAGUCAAGGAGCUUCAAAAUCAAGAGCCAACUAUGAACAAUCAGUUUGCGUGUUCCAGCAGGUGAACAGGUGAAUCAAAGACAUGUUGGAUGAUGAUUGAUUGUUUGCAUGCUAGGAUUGGACUUGGACUUUACUGUGAAUCCGUGAUUCAUUGUUCCCGCUUAUGGGUUAUGCUAAGGAUCAUAUACCCUCUU